GACGAACGCUGGCGGCGUGCUUAACACAUGCAAGUCGAACGGAAAGGCCCUGCUUUUGUGGGGUGCUCGAGUGGCGAACGGGUGAGUAACACGUGAGUAACCUGCCCUUGACUUUGGGAUAACUUCAGGAAACUGGGGCUAAUACCGGAUAGGAGCUCCUGCUGCAUGGUGGGGGUUGGAAAGUUUCGGCGGUUGGGGAUGGACUCGAGGCUUAUCAGCUUGUUGGUGGGGUAGUGGCUUACCAAGGCUUUGACGGGUAGCCGGCCUGAGAGGGUGACCGGGCACAUUGGGACUGAGAUACGGCGCAGACUCCUACGUGAGGCAGCAGUGGGGAAUAUUGCACAAUGGGCGGAAGCCUGAUGCAGCAACGCCGCGUGCGGGAUGACGGCCUUCGGGUUGUAAACCGCUUUCGCCUGUGACGAAGCGUGAGUGACGGUAAUGGGUAAAGAAGCACCGGCUAACUACGUG
rnacentral:rRNA from 1 species